rnacentral:rRNA from 1 species
UACGGAGGGUGCGAGCGUUGUCCGGAUUUAUUGGGCGUAAAGAGCUCGUAGGCGGCUUGUCGCGUCGACUGUGAAAUCCCGCCGGCUCGAACUGCGGUCUGGCAGUCGAUAUCGGGCAGGCUAGAGUUCGGUAGGGGAGACUGGAAUUCCUGGUGUAGCGGUGAAAUGCGCAGAUAUCAGGAGGAACACCGAUGGCGAAGGCAGGUCUCUGGGCCGAUACUGACGCUGAGGAGCGAAAGCGUGGGGAGCGAACAGG